GAUGAAGAACGUAGUGAAAUGCGAUAAUUAAUGUGAAUUGCAGAAUUCAGUGAAUCAUCGAGUCUUUGAACGCACAUUGCGCCCCCUGGUAUUCCGGGGGGCAUGCCUGUCCGAGCGUCAUUGCUGCCCUCAAGCACGGCUUGUGUGUUGGGCUCCGUCCCCCGAUCCCGGGGGACGGGCCCGAAAGGCAGCGGCGGCACCGCGUCCGGUCCUCGAGCGUAUGGGGCUUUGUCACCCGCUCUGUAGGCCCGGCCGGCGCUUGCCGAUCAACCAAAUUUUUAUCCAGGUUGACCUCGGAUCAGGUAGGGAUACCCGCUGAACUUAAGCAUAUCAAUAAGCGGAGGA
rnacentral:misc_RNA from 1 species